GUCCUCUUAUCGUUAGCCGCACCUAGCAUCCAAUGUCCAUUCGCGCUUACAUGGACAGUUUGCCUACACAGCCACCAUGAGUUUCCUGGGAUGCUCUUCUCCUCCUGUAACCUUUAGAGCAUGACUUAUACACUCCAUAACGUGCUGUCAUUCUGCCGUUUCGUGGUGCGUUGCCGUGCUUGUUUGGAUCCCCAUAACCCUAACCAUCCCCGUAACCAUCCAAACUUGAAGUUGGAGCAUUGUCGCAUUUUGCUCCACAUAAGGCACUGGCAGGGUGGAGGUCAGGCAGCCGCGAACAACUGCCUUUCCUGGCCCAGCA
rnacentral:lncRNA from 1 species